GACGAACGCUGGCGGCGUGCUUAACACAUGCAAGUCGAACGCUGAAGCUCAGCUUUUGUUGGGUGGAUGAGUGGCGAACGGGUGAGUAACACGUGAGUAACCUGCCUCCUUCUUUGGGAUAACGCCCGGAAACGGGUGCUAAUACUGGAUAUUCACUGGUCUUCGCAUGGGGGUUGGUGGAAAGGGUUUUUCUGGUGGGGGAUGGGCUCGCGGCCUAUCAGCUUGUUGGUGGGGUGAUGGCCUACCAAGGCUUUGACGGGUAGCCGGCCUGAGAGGGUGACCGGUCACAUUGGGACUGAGAUACGGCCCAGACUCGUACGGGAGGCAGCAGUGGGGAAUAUUGCACAAUGGGCGCAAGACUGAUGCAGCGACGCCGCGUGAGGGAUGGAGGCCUUCGGGUUGUGAACCUCUUUCGCUCAUGGUCAAGCCGCAACAAUGGUUGUGGUGAGGGUAGUGGGUAAAGAAGCGCCGGCUAACUACGUG
rnacentral:rRNA from 1 species